GAUGAAGAACGCAGUGAAAUGCGAUAAGUAAUGUGAAUUGCAGAAUUCAGUGAAUCAUCGAAUCUUUGAACGCACAUUGCGCCCCCUGGUAUUCCGGGGGGCAUGCCUGUCCGAGCGUCAUUACAACCCUCAAGCUCAGCUUGGUGUUGGGCCCCGCCGCCCCGGCGGGCCCUAAAGUCAGUGGCGGUGCCGUCCGGCUCCGAGCGUAGUAAUUCUUCUCGCUCUGGAGGUCCGGUCGUGUGUUCGCCAGCAACCCCCAAUUUUUUUCAGGUUGACCUCGGAUCAGGUAGGGAUACCCGCUGAACUUAAGCAUAUCAAUAAGCGGAGGA
rnacentral:misc_RNA from 1 species